GUUAAAAAGCUCGUAGUUGGAUUUCGGUUGAGAACGGCCGGUCCGCCGUUUGGUGUGCACUGGCUGGUUUCAACUUCCUGUAGAGGGCGCGCUCUGGCUUCACGGCUGGACGCGGAGUCUACGUGGUUACUUUGAAAAAAUUAGAGUGUUCAAAGCGGGCUUACGCUUGAAUAUUUCAGCAUGGAAUAACACUAUAGGACUCCUGUCCUAUUUCGUUGGUCUCGGGACGGGAGUAAUGAUUAAGAGGAACAGUUGGGGGCAUUCGUAUUUCAUUGUCAGAAGUGAAAUUCUUGGAUUUAUGAAAGACGAACUUCUGCGAAAGCAUUUGCCAAGGAUGUUUUCAUUAAU
rnacentral:rRNA from 1 species